UAUUUUUAAAGAGAUUAUAUAAAUCGUGAAUAUAUUUUAGGUUUAAAAGACGAGAUGUCUGUGAUUGACAGAAAGCUUCUUUGAUUGAUUGAUUAUUUUUUUACUAAGGACAAUAAGUUAUAAUUAACUGUAAGAAAUACUUUACGGCAUCGCAUAUGGAGAGCCGGUUGCUCGAGGAGCGAUUUCCAUUAAACUAGUUCUUCCUUUAUUUUCUUAAUGAAUCAUGAAAAAGAAACGUAUUUUUCUAGAAACUCUCUAGGACACCAUGGGAUAAAAAGGAGGUUCCUCCAACCCAUGCAAGAGCACAUGACUGUUCCCAUGGAUUCGUGGCGUCCCUAAUAUGCGCGGCAAAGCUUCGUUGCAUUUUCUUCUAUGUUCUUUUGUCUCGAAAGUUAGAUCGCAGGUUACAAAUACUGACAUAGCUACAGUAGCCCAUGUGUGAGUAGGAGUCAUAUCAAGGUAAUAUGAAUAUUGAUUCUGAGACCUUUAAGGUUGGAUUCCAACCGAAUGCAAGGCACCCGGAGGCGGAGCCAAGACCAAAACCAGACCACCUGGGGUUACAUGGAGCUGAGAUCGAUUCCAAGACGGUCAAGAUUGGGUUCGAAGCUCCUAGGGGUGAAGCCGAGAGAAAAUCCAUGCUAGCUCUAUACCGGUGUAUGUAGAGAUCAAGCUAGGAUAGCUUUCAGGUCGGGUACUCUGAGGCUACCAAAAAAAAAAGGCACAAAACUGGGUAUGAGGGAUCGAAGGACUCAUGUAAAUAAUUUACUUGUUAACAUCUUUUAAUCCAAAUAAAAACCGUAUCUCACUGAUCAUUAGGAUAAUAUCUUAUGAUUAUGUGCUUAUAACA